UACGUAGGGCGCAAGCGUUGUCCGGAAUUAUUGGGCGUAAAGAGCUCGUAGGCGGUUUGUCGCGUCUGCUGUGAAAACCUAAGGCUCAACCUUGGGCUUGCAGUGGGUACGGGCAGACUAGAGUGCGGUAGGGGUGACUGGAAUUCCUGGUGUAGCGGUGGAAUGCGCAGAUAUCAGGAGGAACACCCGAUGGCGAAAGGCAGGUCAC
rnacentral:rRNA from 1 species